rnacentral:snoRNA from 1 species
ACUGCCCCCAGAGGCGUUGCAGAUGUGGCUGCCGUGUCACAUUUGUGUCAUUGGGUGGCAGAGAGAAGAAAGGCUAUGUCUACGCUCGGUGUUCUGCCCCGAAUUCCACCACAUUGAUUAGUAGUCGUUCUUU